rnacentral:rRNA from 1 species
CCCUCUGGGGUGGACGCGAUCAUGCGCGCGAAGCACCGCGAGACGCUGCUGGUCGCGUUCAACCCCUACGUGCGCGCCUACUUCGACCCGGACAGGCCCGGCGAUCCGCCGGACUCGAUGGUCGAGGACCAGGCGCGCCGCCAGAUCAUCCGGCUGUACAACAGCCAGGAGGCCACGUCGGUGCUCUUGAUCGGCGGAAGCGCGGCGCUGAAAUACUCCCAGGACGCCUCGGGGGUGCAGCGGGUGGACGCCCGGGCGCGGGAAAGGCCCGACCCGUCGCAGUUUCAACUGUUCGACCGGUGGAUGAACGCCAUCUGGGACGGCGGGGAGCGGGUGAUCCCCUACGGGCGCCAGGUGCUGGACAUGGACAACCAUCCGGGGGCGCUGAUCCGGGUCAACGUGCGGGGGGGC